UCAGUGAUCAGCGACGCUCCAACUGAGCUACAAGGUCUCUUGAUGCUCAUCGUGGUGUCUGUGGGUUUAGCAGCUCUCAUUAUGAUCGUUGUGGCGGUCAACAUAUGGACAAGAAUUGAAGAGAAGAAAACACAGAUGGAUGAAAUCAGUGUGAGUUUUUAAAACAAAA